rnacentral:rRNA from 1 species
CAUAGCGACUAUCGUGGCAUAUCAAUAAGCGGAGGAAAAGAAACUAACAAGGAUUCCCUUAGUAACGGCGAGUGAAGCGGGAAGAGCUCAAAUUUGAAAUCUUCAAGGUUCUACCUUGACGAAUUGUAGUUUAUAGAAGUGUUUUCUGUUAGUGGAGUGGCAAAAGUUCUUUGGAAUAGGACAUCAUAGAGGGUGAGAAUCCCGUAUUUGGUCAUUCCUCCUAGCGUUGUGAUACACUUUCAACGAGUCGGAUCGUUUGGGAAUGCAGUCCAAAAUGGGUGGUAAAUUUCAUCUAAAGCUAAAUAUUGGCGAGAGACCGAUAGCGAACAAGUAUCGUGAGGGAAAGAUGAAAAGAACUUUGAAAAGAGAGUUAAACAGUACGUGAAAUUGUCAAAAGGGAAGCGUUUGACACCAGUGUUGUUUUUCCGAAAAUCAAUUACGAAUGUUUUGUUUUUGAGGAGUUAUGACUUCAUCGGCUUGCUCCUUUCUUUAUGAAACUUUCUUAAUGCACUUUUCGGUUAACAAGUCAACAUCAAUUUCUUUUGUUGUAAAAGGGUAUGAGGAAGGUGGCUUUACUUUCGGAGUAAAGUGUUUAUAGCCUUUUACCUCUGCAAUCGGAGAGAAUUGAGGUCUGCAGCGUAGAUCCUUCGGGGUUAGAUACGUUUGUGCUAAGUUAUAGCUUUUCAUAGACAACUUGUUGACUAUGUUUAGUCUUGUAGCUUACUCGCAUGACGCUAUUUUACCUACGCUUAGGAUGUUGACGAGACUGUCGAUCUC